GAAAAAAAAAGGAGAAUCGUACAUUCACUCUGAAAAUACAAACAGGGAAGAUUAGCUCUUGAAUCAUGAUGGAAAGAGCCCUAUUAUGUCCUACUAAUCAAACUACAAGUAAUAUCAUCGGAUUCAUGCAUCAGCCUCUCAAAAAAGAAUAUAAUUCUUUACUUAAAUAUCAUGCAAAUAUAGAUAACUAAAUUAUCAUCCCCUUUUUUCAUUUUUCAAACUCUUCAUAUUGGAAUUGGGAUCUUUUCUUUGACAUAAUCUGGACAUGCUUGGCUGCUGGUUUAGCAGUUGAUGACAAAACUCUGGAAGUAAUCUUUUCACAAUGCUAAAAUACAAGAUCUCCUGCUUGCAACUGGUCUCUGACUAAAUUAAAUGAAAGCAAUCACGCAGCAAAAAAAAAAAAAAGUUGAGUCUGUGAUCACUGUUG